ensembl:lncRNA
GCUCUGGCCGGGAGUCGACAGAGGGAGCGAGGGCAGGGAGCGCGCCCGUGCGUGCGCGCGCUCUCGCGACCGGACUAUCCGCCGCGGACACUCUUUCGCCCGCCUUACACUUCGAGCCUGGGCCCCGCUCAGCACCCUGGGCCCUUCCUAAGCGCCUCCCGCGCCGGCCCUCAGGGAUGCACAGAAAAAAAGAGGAAAGCAAAGGAAUAAACUACAAGCAAUUACACUCUACCAGGUACAGCAUUCACACCCCAAGCCUGACACUAGACUCUGCUGCUCCCUCUGGAAAUUGAUGUGGGCUUCAGUGCUGCUGCUGCCACAGCCAAAAUUGAGUCCCUGCAGUCUUGGCUUGUCCUGUGUCAUGCCAAGAGUCAACAGCAUCUGAAUGGUUGCACCUAGAUCACGUCUGAGCCCUAGCUGCAAGGGAGGCUGGGAAAGUGAGCAUCUGACGCCUAUGGAAUUGUUGGUCUCUGCCUCCUGUCAGUACUCAGGAGGUAGAGAAAUCCACAGCCAAGAGAUCACUUUAGAUGCUGGGUGAUGUCAAGGGUAACAGAAGGUGCAAAAAGGAUGACAAGUCCCCACUAGAACUUUCUUUCAAUACUCCUAAGCCCUAAUUAAGAGCUCCACUCAACAUGUAUCUAGGACAUGGCUGGAAAAAGCCUUGUGCUCAACUUUGAGAAGAAUUAAAUUAAAGGAAUGAUUACUAAGGGUGGGCAAGGUCUAGAGAACCACAAGAGACAGUGCAGCACUCCAGAACUGGCAACAGUAGGGAGCUUUCAACAUCCUGGGCCUGAAGAGGCAAGGGGAGGAAGCAUUUCCCAGAGCCAGAGGCAGGACUGCCUAACUGUGUGGAGAGAAUCAUUUAAAAUAAACGACCCAGCCCUGGGCACCUCCUCACCAAGAGGACAAGAGGAGCAAAUGCCACUCCUUCCUUUCCUGUGGUUCCCUGUUGAAGCUCCCCACCAGCCUGGCCAGAGACCAGAGGGCCAGGGAGCACAUGCAGGUAUGAGCUGCAGAAGAAGACUGGAGAGCAAAUGUGGAGAAAUAAACAGAAGAGGUUCUGCACUUACGGCUUCAUCGAUAUGUCACUGGCAUUUUUUCUUUUUUAAAUUCAGUAUCUCCUUUGGGGAUGUCCCUUUACAUUUUCAGUAGCUCAGCCCACAAGAUCAAUGGACUUAAAAUGUUCUUCUCAUCCUGAAUUUAACGAGAUGCUAUUUCCCCCUUGUUUGCUAUUUAGAAUGUUCUAUUGUAUGGUUCAACAAUCUGCACCAUUAAAGGUUAGCAAAUCCCAACCAGGACAUUUUUUUUCCCUUUCUGGGCUUGGGGAAAAAGGAGAAGAGGUGUGACCUGCACAGACAGCAUCAAAAAUCUCCUUUUCUGAAUCUUCCUGCAGAAAUCCUCUCUAUGUAUUGUCUCAGCACAGGAGAUUUCCUGUUGUUCAUCCCUGCCUCCUCCUCAUUAAUAUCCAGCCUUUUAAAUAAAGCAUGUACAAGAAUAGUCAAUAAAAUAAACCCCACAUGAUUACCAACAGUUGCAGGCCCAUGAGUUCCCCAAGGAUUCACCCACUGUAACCCCUCAUCCUUUGAAAGUACAUGAUAACUUGUGUUAGAGUAAUCAGUUAUUGGGCCAGGGAUUUAGCUCAGUGGUUCCAGUGCCUGCCUCCCAAGCACAAGCUCCUGAGUUUGAUCCCUGGUACCAAAAAAAAAAAGUCACCAGUUAUUUAGUUUGGGAAAGAAUACCAAGGGGAAACCUUCAUCAUCAUCUUCAAGUAUAUGAUGUGUUCCUUCCCAGAGUAUGGAAAGCAAGUGUUUUCCCUGUCCUCAAUCAAGGGAGUGAGUACAGCACGAGGAAUAAAAUAGAAAUAAAAUAAUAAAAUGGUUGCACUUUGAAACUACAAUGUUAAGUGAAAUAAAUCAGACACACAAACUUGAAUAUUGCAUAGUUUCUUUUAUGUGAGAAAUUCAAAAUUUAAAUAAAGAACAAAAUAACAGAUAAUAGGAAGAUAGAUCAUUCUCAAAUGGGAAGGGGAUUAAGAGAGAAGGAGAAGGAGGGGAGGAUGCUGAAAAAAUUAAGAUGUUUUAUGUAUGUGUACCAACUCCACACAAAAAUGUAAACAUUAUGUAUUACAAACAUACUAAUAAAAACUGAUGAAGAAAACAAGCCUACAGCUGGGCAAAAUCAUUAACCACAAAGCCUAUUUUGCAAUAAAAUGUUGAAUAUUUGCCAAAAAAUAACAUUAAUAAAAGUCUUACUUUAAAAUGCAAAUGAAACCAAAUGUGGCAGCACACACCUGUAGUCCCAGCCCUCUGAGCAACUGCAGCAGGAGGAUCACAAGUUUGAGUCCUGCCUGGGCAACUUAACAAGAGCCUGUCUCAAAACACAAAAUAAAAAAAGCUGAAGAUGUAGAAUAGUGCAAAGGCCCUAGGUUCAAACCCUAGUACUACCACUAAAAAAAAUUGCAAAUGACAGAGAAAUACACACAGCAAAGUUGACUUCUAUGCUCUGGAAGUUUGAGCUAAUUAUUUCUAAAAUUAUUCAGGUGCUUUCACAUUUACUACCUAAAUUUUCUUUUGUUGUUGCGAUUUUUGCCAUGGCAUUCACUAAAAUUUGUUUCUUUAAAUAUUUUUUCUUAGGCUUCAUGUUGCAUAUAAAUGUAAAUUUUUGUCAUGUAGAUUGUCUCGUUUAACUUCCCUCAAAUAUCCAGCUGGCAGCUGAAUACCUCAAUUUGGAUUUCCCACCAACAUGUGCCACACUUACAUGUGCAGUUCAGAACCAGCAUGUGCAAUGCCGUGGUACCUUGGUUCACAAACUUAAUGUGUUUUAUGAUUUGGGGGAAGAUGGCUGCGUUUGUGUUUGUGUGGGGAACAUGACCAUGGUUGUGUUACCCAAUGUGGAGUUUGUGAACAGAAGCAAAGUCUUAUGUUACCACUUGUACAAUUCCUCUAUGGUUGGCUAUCACCCUUGGGUUACUGAAAAGCAUGGCAUGGCAUUCAAAUCUUUGUCCCUCAUUGUUCGUCUUGCUCCCCAGCCCAUAUCUCAUUGCUUCAUGGACUCUGAUCACUCUGAGCCACUUGAUAUUCCAUACCACUCAUGGGGAGCCCACACAUAGACACCAACAUGCUUUUGCACACACUUUUCCCUCAGCCUGAGUUGUUCUCCAUCCCAUCUGGCCUGGAGACCUUCUCUUCACCCUUCUAGUCCAAACACAGUCACUCAUUGUGUACUUGCAUUGUUUCUUGUGCAAAUAAUAGGGCAGAACAUCUGGCCAAAGGCUCCUGAUGGUCCAGCUGAGAAGUAGUGCAGAAGACUAGAUGAUGGCCAGGGAAAUGGAGUGGGCAGAGUCUAGGGUGGUGAUGGCAAACCUUUUAGAGCUUUCAAUGAUAACAAACAGCUGGCUGCAGCAUGCAUGUCAUAGAUUCUCCUCCACUAGUCUAGGGCAUACUCUUUGUGUAGAGUUUUCUAGACCUUCUGAUGGGUUGGCUGUGGGGACAAGAGGAGAGAAGAAAUCCAAAUCAGAGCAGGCAGCUCCAUCAGCAGGAACAAAUUACAGGGAAAACUACACCCUGGGACCCAACUUCAGUAAUUAUCACCUCUGUGUCAGUCUUGUUCCUUUACACCCCAACCUCCUUCCUCCUGCUGCCCAGCCCCACCCACACAAUGGCUUAUUUUGAAGCAAGUGCCAGACAUUUUAUAAUUUCACCUGUAAAUAUUAUGUCUGUAUUUCUAAAAUAAAAGAACUCUUUUUAAAAAAACAUAAUACCAUUAUCAUUUCUAAAAAAAAUUACUGAAGAAUGUAAACAAACAAAACUAAUACUAGUACUUUAUAUCAUUGGGUAUACGGGUAUACAGUACAUUUAGCAAUUACGUUUUCCCAAUGUGUUAUUUGUUGUUGGUUGUUUGUUUGAAAUGGAAUCUAAAUUGGCCUAUAGACAGUAUUGAUUUGUUGCUGUGUUUCCUAACUCCCUUUUAAUCUCUUCCCCCCUUACCUUUGUCUCUUCCAGUUUGGUUGUUGUCAUUAGUAAUGUUGCUGUCACUGAAGAAACUGGAUGUUCGUUCUGUACAAUGUUAGAAUUUCCUGAUUGCAUCACUGUGGUGUUGUUUAACUUGUUCUUGUGUCUCCUCUAUUUCCUGAGAAUUUAUUUUAUCAGAAACGGGAGUUUUGUUGCUGUUGUUGCCUUGGGGAAGGUCAGCAUGACCAUUUCAUAGAUGGUGUUUUAUAUGUUCAUCAAGAAGCUUAUCAUGUCUUAUUAUCUAUUUUUGUGAUGUUAGCAACCAUCAAUGUUUAUUACCUAUAUCUAUUCAUUUAUUAGACCUGUCAAAGUGGCAGUAUUCUGAUUGUAUCUUUUUUUUCUUCAUUUUCUGAGUGAGAUGUUCUGGAAAGAGGACAGUUCAUACAGAAAAAAUAGUAGAAGCUAUGUGUUUUAUAUUCCCCUUCAUAUACCAAUUUUCUAAAUAAUGAGUUGUUCCCAGGGGCCAGGGAUGUAGCUCAGUGGCAUUGUGCUUGCCUCGAAAGCCCAAGGUCCUGAGUUUGAUCCCUGGUACUGGAAAAAAAAAAGAGUUAUUCCCUGUCAUCUUCCAAAGGUCAUGAAUGAAUGAAUGAAUUUACUUUUAUUUUAUCAUUAAUAUUAUUAAGGGAUUACUUGCUAAAUAUGUUUAUAUGUAGAUUGCAGUUAUAUUUAUUGAUAUCUAAAUUAUUCUGUCUUUGGUCAAUGGAAGCCAAAUCAAGUCAGCUCUAAACUACUUCUGAUAUGACCCUAAUUUCUUUUACAAGCUUCCUCCUUUCUGGUAUGUUUCAAGUUCAUCUUGUGUAUUUCCUGCUGCAGACCUGGAAUCAGCCAUUUCUCUUAGAAUUUCCAGGUUCCUUUCAAUGGGAAAUAUUGUUUAGAGACCACAAUCUGGGCAGUAAGUACACUCAUCGCUUCUCAGCUAGUUACUAUUUACAGUGGGCAAAGACAGAAUAUGUGUGUGUGUGAUUUUUUAAAGAAAUUGCAUGUCCAAUUCAAAUUCAGGAUAACCAUGGAUAUCCAUAAAGUGUCUUCUUUCUCCUGUGACGAAAAUCUCAAUUCUAAACAAUCCCAAUGUAAUUUCCAGUUUUCUCUAUUUCAUACUACACAAAAUCAACUUCAAAAUAAUUAGACAAAAACUAAAUUAACAAUAAACUAACUAUAACAGUUCAGUUUUUUUUCUUUGUCUUUCAGGUACAUCCCACUGCGGAUUAUUGUCAAAUUAAUGUAUUAUAGGAUCACUGAGAAUAGUUCCUCUGUGUGUGGCUACACCACCAACUGGUUACAUAGUUAAUUUCACUUACUUUGCUUUACAUUUUUAAUAGUUCCUUCUUAUAACUAUGAAAAUAUUUACCUGGUUGCAAAGUCAAAUAAAUCUACAAACAAGGUACAUUAAAAGCCUCAUUCUCUUUCUCUACAAUAUUAAAACAUGAUUUAUCCUCUUUCUUUUUAUAUGAGAAAAUAUCUCUACAUGCUUGUAUUCCUCUCCUCUUAGAGAAAUGACAGCAUACUAUAAACACUUCCUCCUCCUGUUUUCACUUAAUAGUACUUCUUAGUGGUAAAUACCAGUCUUUGAUUUGGGCUCUGGUUCACGGUACUUAAAUUUUCAGCAGAUAGCUGCAGGUUCUCACUCCUCUCUCACUCACGUGCCACAUGCGAACUGUCAUGGUUUAACUUCAGAAUCCAAGGCCUGACCCCUCUCACCACUCUCCUCUACCCUGCCAGAGCUGUCAGCUCUUACUGGAACCAUUGCAGUAGCUCCUCAUCACUGCUCUCCUUCAUCUACCCUCAGUGCCCUCAGGUCUGUUCUCAGCGAGUCAAAAGAGCCAAAGUCUUACUCACCUUUGGGAGCUCGCACCUCAUCCUUUUCUCUCCCCACUCCACUCUGGCCACACUUGCAAUGGCUAGUGGGCUCAUCCUCCUUGUAUCUGCAAUGCUCACUCUCUCGCCCCCUUCAAAUUGUUCUUCAAAGUAGCACCUUCACGGUGAACUUUACUCUUCCCCCUUCUAAAAUUGCAGCCUGACCCAUCCCCACCUCAGCUUUCCUUUGGCCUCCUCUAUUUUCCCAUACUACUUAUUACCUUCUGUCAUGCUGAAGAAUGGUUAUUGUCCAUUCAUUUAUUGUUCUCCACUGGAAUGUACAUUCUACAGGGUAUGGAUCUUUAUCUGUUUUGCUCACUAAUAGAUCCCCACUGCCUAGAAAAGUGCCUGGCACAUAAUAGGCACUUAGUAAAUAUUGUUGAAUGAAUGAAUAAAAACUUUCUUAACUUCAACUGAUAAAGUUACCAAACUGUGGCCUAGUGUUACAGGAAUAUUCAGAACCACAAUGACCAUCUGACCCAUAGGAGAACAAGGACCCUUUUCCAGUGACCAGAACAUUACUUCUUCCUCUGCCAUAUCCUGAGGCUCUGCAUAUGAGAGUUGAUGAGGGUCAUGUGAUACUUUUCUACUAUCACACAGCUGAAAGAUAAUAACAACUUACUAUUUAUAUGGUUUAUUAUGUUAAUGUAAGUUUUACAUAUACUAAUUAAGUCAUUUGAUCAAUAAAACAAUCCAGCAAAGACCGUUUUAUGAUUUUGCUCAUUUUAGAAAUGAAGCCACUGAAGCACAAAUAGAUUUUUUUUUAAUUGCUUAUAACUAAUAAUUUAUUUAUGGUAGAAUUAGGACCAGAAUCUCCAGGGAGUUUGGCUCUAGAACUCAUGCUUUCAAUUAGUACUAUCCAACAGGUUUUGGGCAAUGAUAGCAAUGUUCCCUAUCUGUACUGUUCAGUAUGGUGGCGCUAAAGCAGUGAUGGUGAACCUUUUAGAGACCAAGAGCCCAAACUGCAACCCAAAGUCCAUUUAUUUUUUGUAAAGUGCCAACACUGCAAUUAAACAUGAAUACUGAGAGUUUAGUUUAGAAAAAAAACACCUCAUACCCUUGGCUUGCAUUCCAACAGAGAGGGCUCUGUGUGUCCACUGCGGCACAUGUGCCAUAGGUUCACCACCACUGGCCUAGAGUCACAAGUGGCUGUUGAACAACUGUAAUGUGACUAAUUCAAGUGGAACUCAAUUUCUAAUUGUACUUAGUUUUAAUUUCAGUUUAAAUAAGAAUAUGUCAUUACUGUGUGGAAAGCUCAACUUUAAGCCAAUAUAGUCUUGUGCUUUUUAGGUAUGAUUGACAGAAUAUCAAAGAAGUUGUAUAAGGGUUUGUUGCAGUUGUUCUUCAAAUCCAAGGGUACAUCUUUGUGGGAUUCUAAGAAAUGGCUAGAGCCAAUGAACUUUAAGUCUCCCAGUGUCAUCUAUAACUUAUGGAACAUAUGGCUCUCUAAUUUCCAAGCAUUCUUAGAACAAAAAGAAAAACCAUAAAGAGUAUGUUGUCCAGAUACAUUAUGUUCCUUUUUGUUGAAAGAAAUAGAGGAUUAAAUUGUUCUGACUCUAAUUUGUCCUUAUUUAAGUGCAUACUUGUGAAGAUAAAAAUAAAGUUAAUCAUAAGAGGUAGAACAUGACAUUGCAGGUUCAAUUGAAAAUUGCAAGUUAUAUUUCUAUUGAUGUUUAAAUUAUAUUUUUUAUUUUUGAAAAAUAUAUAAACUAAUUUUUAAAAAAAGAUGGGAAAAGACUAGACAAAUUUUACCAUCUGGAAU